UACAGAGGGUGCGAGCGUUGUCCGGAAUCACUGGGCGUAAAGGGCGCGUAGGUGGCCCGACAAGUCUGUGGUGAAAGCUCGACGCUCAACGUCGAGUCGGCCAUAGAUACUGUUGGGCUGGAGCACUGUAGAGGCUCAUGGAAUUCCGGGUGUAGCGGUGGAAUGCGUGAGAGAUCCGGAAGAACACCGGUGGCGAAGGCGGUGAGCUGGGCAGUAGCUGACACUGAGGCGCGACAGCGUGGGGAGCA
rnacentral:rRNA from 1 species